rnacentral:tRNA from 1 species
GGCCUCGGAGCUCGGCUGCUAGAGCAUGCGCGUACAAAGCGUAGGCGGUGUCCAUGCGUGGGUUCGAAUCCCACCGAGGAUA